GGCCCCAUCAUCUAGUGGACUAGGAUACCAGGUUUUCAUCCUGGAGACAGGGGUUCAAUUCCCCUUGGGGCUA
rnacentral:tRNA from 1 species